AGGGUUUAUCUAAUAAACGAACAGUGUCAGCUUUUCUCCAAAUGCAAGAUCCGAUUUUGUUCAAGAAACUCUGAUUCUCGCAAAGAAAUGGAUCUUUCUCCCAGAACAAACAGAAUCUACGAUUUUCUCAGCAAAGCAUAUGAGAUGGUUGAUGAUCCUUCCACGGAUAAGAUAAUCUCGUGGGGACCAAACGGAACAUCGUUCAUAGUCUGGAAACCGCUAAAAUGUUAAAGAGACCUUCUUACACGACACUUGGGAAUCACAAACUUUGUAAGAUUCGAGGGAUAUGGAUUUAGCAAGAUCAGUGUGUCUGGAGGACAACAGUUGGAGUUUGUAUGCGAUGACUUCGUGAAGGGACACCCUGAACUUUUGGAGAAGAUUGGUGAUCGCUACAUGGCCAAGUUGAGAGCUUUUCAUGAGAAGAGGUACAAGCCUUUUGAGGAUCGGCUUAAAAACGCCAAGACCAAGGAAGAGUGGGAUCUAGCAGUGAAGGAGCAGAAGGAGUUUUUUAAAAAUGAUUGUAAGGAGAGAAGGGAGAGCAGGCUGAGGAUGGAGAGCUCUCCACUAGCUCCGGAGAAUCAAGUGCAGAGUAAUGGAACUUGAUCAGCUUA